AAUAUAAUUGAGUACAGAAGCAGGACCAUGUGAUCAUGUCUCUUAGCAUAUCGAACUAAAUGCAUAUUCUUCACCACUCACCACACAUUCAAAGAUUUAGACAUGAUCUAUAUAUAUAUAUAUAUAUAUAGGCUUUUAUCAUCUCCAAAAUCAACCAACUCAAGUUCAAAAAUUCUCUACCAGUUAGACAAUUUUCCUCUCUUCCCUCAAGCCAUUGAAACUUUUCUCAAAGUGACUAAUCAACAAUGACCGUUCAUUUUCCUCGUCCAUUGUAUUCCAAGCAGAUUCUCCACCGAUCAAAUUCGUUUCGAGAUCAACCAACUCCCUCGGAUGUUCCAAAAGGCCAUAUUGCAGUCUAUGUUGGGGAUCAAAAGAAGAGAUUCAUAAUUCCAAUAUCAUUUUUGCAUCAGCCUUCAUUUCAAGAGUUGCUAUGUAUGGCAGAGGAAGAAUUCGGCUACAAUCAUCCAAUGCGUGGUCUAACACUUCCCUGCACGGAAGACAUCUUCGUUGACCUCACUGCCCGCUUGAACAGAUUGUGAUAUACAGAACUUCUGAUCAAUUAGAAGUUACAAUUUUUUUCUUUAUUUUAACUUUUGUAGAAAGGAGAUGUUGAUGUGAAAGCUUUAUGCCCGUAGAGAGAGUUGCUAGUGGUAACUCCAGCAGUAUUUGCCACAAUUUUGAUCAAUUGUAAACUUGGUAGACUAGAUCAGUUAAUCAUAUCUUUUUCAGUCUAUACUUCCAAUUAUCUUUCCUUUUACAUUGAACACAAUAACAGAAUACAUAUUUGAAUUCCUCUUACAAAUUCUUUUUAUAUACAUGUUUACCAGUUGAAAUAGACACUUGAGUGUAUUUAUUUCAAAAUUUUAUAUGAAAAUAGACACGUGAAUGGAUUUACUGCAAAAAUUUACAUGGUAACAGAACUGGAUCCUGGCUUUUUCCUAAGAAUGAGUCUUGGUGCAGAAUCUCCUUCUUGUUCGCUUAUUUGAAGCUAGUCUACUUCUUCCUUAUCUCCCAGAAAUUCUCAUCCCCAUUCAUUGUGUUUAAGAUUAAAAAUAGUAUUAGUGAAACCUUUAACUUCACCAAUUUCUUAAUUUGGAAAUAUGUCAUCUUAUCUGUAUACAAAAUUUAUGAUGUUGUUAACCAUAUAGGUGGUUCUAGUGCCUGAUCUCUCACAACUACAGAAACUUGGAUCGAAAUCCGAAUGCCCUCUUAUAGAAGCAGCUCGAUUCACCUGCUCUCUCCAGAAAUUUUGUGCAGCCUACUCAAACCCAACUAGACACUCACUUCCAGACGAGCAUGUUAACAUCAUAUCAGAAUUUUUCUGAUAUGAAAUAAUUAACGGGGUGAAUGUCAUAUAUUGAAAUAUGAACAAGGAUCAUACUUUUUUAUAUUUAUUUAGACGGAUGAAUUGAUACAUUUAGCAUAAGUUGCUUCUUCAGACAUGUUGAUCAUACCAUACAAUAGGCACAUUCAACGGAGAUGACAAAGCCAAAGUCCAAUUUAAUUGAAGAAGCACACGAAAGGUUUAAAUGCAGAUGGUAAACAAAAAUCAAAGAAUGUUUAUAAAAUUGAUAUAGCUUCUUUUACGACAAGGAAUCCCUUACACGUGAUGCAAAAUGGAUAUUUUUCUACCUAUAUUGCUUUAAGUUUCCCAGUUGCGUCUUCGAAAAUCUGAUAUGUUUACCAUGUCCUUUGUACUUUUGCUUGUCUCAUGUUAACCUCAAAAACAUCUUGGGCUUUUAAUGCUUUUCUCCUUCUAUUUCUCCCUAUGCAGAUUAGCUUCACAGAAAUUUUCAUAGUUUAUUUUGCCAAUCCAGUUGUUGCAAAAUAAUAUAUACAUUGGGCUUCUUGUCUCAGACAUGUCACCAAGCAAAGGGUUGCUCCACCUUUCACCUAUAUAAACACUAAUCCACUUAAAUGAGCUUUAGUUGGAUGGGCAGUUGUCAGAUUAGAGACCAGGUAGGGCACAUUGUUUAAGAAGUUGCACUAAAAUUCAAAUCCUUGCUGAUUAGUUGGAAAACAGAACCAUGUGUAAACCUCAUUAGUUAUGUCCCCAGAAAGACCCCAUGCAGAUGACACUUGAGAAUUCAACCCAAACUAUCAUUCAAUUUGCCAUUUCCUGCCUUUAUAAAUCUAUUUGCAAUUUUCAACUCAAAGCAACCUGGUCUUUCACUUCCAACUCUCAUCCACUCUAAGCUUAUAGCUUUUGUCAAACAAAUUCAAGUCUUCGAAGCCCUUCACAAUUUUUUUCCUUGACUCAAAAGUAGAAACCAUGGCUAUUUUGCGUGCUGCUAUCCUCGCCAAACAAAUUCUUCGCCACUCAGUUACAUUUUCUUAUAAAGAAGCUUCGACGUCCACAGAUGUACCAAAAGGCUUUCUUGCUGUCUACGUUGGAGAGAGCCAAAAGAAGAGAUUUUUGGUUCCAGUCUCAUAUUUAAGGCAACCUUCCUUUCAGGCUUUGCUUAGUAAAGCUGAAGACGAGUUUGGUUUUGAUCAUCCAAUGGGCGGAUUGACAAUUCCCUGCAGUGAAGAAACUUUCUUGGACGUCACCUCACAAUUGAAAAGAUUAUGAAAGAAGCCAUUCAGAUUUCUCAGAGAAGGACUGUUUCACAAAAACAGUGCAUCAAAAGUCCUUUGGCUGUGUAUAUGGGAAAAAAUGAAGACGGCUAUUCAUGAUUUCAUGUUCAUACUUCAAGGGUCCACUUCAGAAGCUACCAUAUCAAGCUGAAGAAAAAAAGGAUCCACACGGAUGCCCUGAGCAAUUCCUUGUAGCCGAAUCUUGCAGUCAUCUCGCCUGCAGAAUAUAUGAAGAGGCCAAAAAUGGCCCAUUACUAGACCAGAGAAAUCAAAUCUGUACAAACAGUAUUGACAGAAUAGAAUACCAGUCUUAUGGCUUACUGUAAAGCUUUGAACUCUGUAGAAACUGAUUUAUACGAAAUUCAUAAUAAGGAUUUUUUAUAUAUUCCCUUGAAUUUUAUUGAGUUGUAUCUCAGAAACUAAACAUUGCAAUCCUUGAUUAUUUGUUAACUAUGUCAGCUAUCAAGUCUAAGAAAAUGCAGAUAUUAAAGUGAGGAUCACCUUCAAAACUGAUGCACCCUAAACCCUUUAACUUUUUUUGCCCUUCACCUCAUUCUCUUUACAGAGAAGCAUAAAAGACUUUGUGUUGUUUUAAUUUUACAUUUGCCCUUGCAUUUCCAUUUUCAAAUGUGUUUCUCUACCUGCAUAUUAAGAACAAUGUAUAUAUACUCAUUGAAGGCAUGCAGUUUACUGUGCACGAAGAACGUAUUUGCAAAUCCAGUCAUGAUAUUUACUGGAGCCUUCAAAGAACUACCAUUACCAAAAUCCUCAUUUUUUGUUAAGAAAGAAGAAAACUGGGGCCUUCACAUCUACCAUUCAAGUUUGACAUAUCUACCAAUAAUUUUUUCUAAAUCUAUUUUUGGAUCUGAGAAUCUGAAAGAAACUGCAGCUUGUCUUGAUAUGGACCACUAGUACUAGUGGGACACACUUCACAUGCAUAUCACAAGGACCUGCCUUGCGAAUUAAUGCAAGAAAUAUUGCCAGCAACCUUCUCUCCAAAACCAACAAAUGCUGGUGAUAACUUUUGUGUUAAAGACAUGAAAAAUGUAAAUGCAGUUUAUUACAUUCCUCAAGCUCUUUCUGGUAAAAUGGACAUUUAAGCUUUAUUUAUUAGAUUUUAACCCAAGACCAUAAUAGGUAGAGCGGCUUAAUAGAUAGACAAGUCAUUAUAAGUUUUCAUACUGGAUCUAUUUGAAAUUAACAUCCACACAGAGACUGUACAUGAGCAAAGACAAAGCCAAAGACAAGGAAUAGAAUUGGAUCUGAGUAGAAAUAAAUUUCAAUAUGUUUCAGGAAUGUCUCCAAUCAUUUAAGGUUUCAAUCUGUUAAAAUUAAAGCAGUUUCCUCUUGCCAAGUCUUUUGUUCUCAAGUGGGUCCAGUUGUAGGUUUCUCUGUUAGAAAUGGCUGGUCACUAUGUGUUCCACCAAAUCUACAAGCUUACUCGCCACCAUGCUCUUAAUCUAAUUAAGUAAGGAAACAGGACCAUGUGAUCCUUCAGGUGAUCAUGUCUCAGCAUAUCCACCCAUAUGCCUCUUCUUCACCACUCACCACAUAUUCAAAGAUUUUGACAUGACCUACAUAUAUAUAUAUAUAUAUAUAUAUAGGCUUUGAUCAUCUCCACAAUCAAGCAACUCAAGUUCAAAGAUUCUCUACUAGCUAGCAGAAUUUUCCUCUCCUCUCUCAAGCCAUUGAAAUACUAAUUAUCUUUUUUCAAAGUGACAAAUUAAUAAUGGCUAUUCGUUUUCCUCGUGUAUCAUAUUCCAAGAAGAUUCUCCGCCGAUCAAAUUCAUUUCAAGAUCAACCAACUCCCUCUGAUGUUCCAAAAGGCCAUAUUGCAGUCUAUGUUGGGGAUCAGGAUCAAAAGAAGAGAUUUGUAAUUCCAAUAUCCUUCUUGCAUCAGCCUUCAUUUCAAGAGUUGCUAUGCAUGGCAGAGGAGGAAUUUGGCUAUAAUCAUCCAAUGGGAGGUUUAACACUUCCCUGCACAGAAGACAUCUUCUUUGACCUCACUGCCCGCUUGGACAGAUUGUGAUAUACAGAACUUCUGAUCAAUUAGGAGUUACAAUUUUUUUUUUUUUUUAACUUUUGUAGAAAGACGAUGCUGAUGUGAAAGCUUUAUGCCCAUAGAGAGAGUUUCCAGUGGUAACUCCAGCAGUCUUUGCCACAAUUUUGAUCAAUUGUAAAUUUGGUAGAUUAUAUCAGUUGAUCAUAUCUUCUUCAAUCUAUACUUCCAAUUAUCUUUCUUCUAACGUUGAACACAGUAACAGAAUACAUGUUUGAAUUCUUCUAACAUUUAUCUUUCUAUAGACUUUGUAUAGAGUCCUAAACCAUGUGGACCUCUACAUGUACAUAUACAUGUUUACCAGUUGAAAACAGACACUUGAGCAUAUUUAUUUCAAAAUUUUAUAUGAAACUAGACACAUGAAUGAAUUUACUGCUAAAAUUUGCAUGGUAACAUAACUCGAUUCUGGCUUUUCUCUAAAAAUGAGUCUUCCCCGGAAUCAACUUCUUGUUCGCUUAUUGCAAGUUAGUCUAUUUCUUCCUUAUCUCGCAGAAAUUUUCAUCCCCCAUCAAUGUGUUUAAGAUUAAAGAUAUUGUUAGUGAAACCCUUAACUUCAACAAUUUCUUAAUUUGGAAAUAUGUCAUCUUAUCUGUUUCCAAAAGUUACGAUGUUGUUAACCAUAGAGGUGGGUGUAGUGCCUGUCUAUCUCUCACAACUACAGAUGAUGCAAGUCUGUCUCUUCCAACUCUGGAUGUCCUCUUAUGGAAGCAGCUCGAUUCACCUGUUCUCUCCAGAAAUUCUGUGCAGCCUACUCAAACCCAAUUAGACACACACUUCAGACAAGCAUGUUAACAUCAUAUCAGAAUUUCUUCUGAUAUCAAAUAAUUAACAAGGUGAAUGUCAUAUAUUGAAGUAUGAACAAGGAUCAUACAUUUGGCGUAUCUAUUUGGACCAACGAAUUGGUAUUUUUAGCAAUAGUUGCUUCUUUACACAUGCUGAUCGUACCAUACAAUAGGCAGAUUCAACAGAGACGACAAAGCUAAAGUCCAAUUCGAUUGAAGAAGGACAAGAAAGGUUUAAAUGCAGAUGGUGAACCAAAAUGACAGAAUGUUUAUAAAAUUGGCAUAGCUUCUCUUAUGCCAUGGAAUCCCUUACAUGUGAUUCAGAAUGGAUAUUUUUCUACCUGUAUUCCUUUAAGUUUCCCAAUUAUGUCUUCUAAAAUCUGAUGUGUUCACCAUAUCCAUUGUACUUUUGCUUGUCUCAUGUUAACCUCAAAAACAUCAACUCACAUGAGCUUUUAAUGCUUUUCUCCUUCCAUAUUUCCCGAUGCAGAUUGGCUUCACACAAAUUUCCAUAGUUUAUUUUGUCAAUCUAGUUGUUGUCUCAGACAUGUCACCAAGCUAAGGGUUGCUCCACUUUUCACCUGAAUAAACACUAAUCCAUUUAAAUGAUCUUUAGUUGGAUCCACAGUUGUCAGAUUAGAAACCAGGUAGGGUACACUGUUCAUGAUGUUGCAGUAAAAUUCAAAUCCUUGUUGAUUAGUUGGAAAACAGAACCUUGUGAAAACCUCAUUAGUUAUGUCUCCAGAAAGACCCCAACAGAUGACACUUCACAAUUUAAUCACAAACUAUCAUUCAAUUUCCUGCCUUUAUAAAUACAUUUGCAAUUUUGAAGUCAAAGCAACUCAGAUCUUUCACUUCCAACUCUCAUCCACUCUAAGCUUAUAGCUUUUGUUAAACAAAUUCGAGUAUUCAGCACUUCACAGUUUUUUUCCUUUACUUGAAAGUAGAAACCAUGGCUAUUUUGCGUGCUGCUAUUCUCACCAAACAAAUUCUUUGCCGCUCAGUUAUAUUUGCAAAUGAAGAAGCUUCCAUAUCCAUAGACAUACCAAAAGGAUUUCUUGCUGUCUAUGUUGGAGAGAACCAGAAGAAGAGAUUUUUGGUUCCAGUAUCCUAUUUAAGGCAACCCUCACAUUUCGGGCUCUACUUAGUAAAGCUGAAGAAGAGAUUGGUUUUGAUCAUCUGAUGGGCAGAUUGACAAUUCCCUGCAGUGAAGAAACUUUCUUCGAUGUCACCUCUCUACUGAACAGAUCAUGAAAGAAGCUGUUCAGAUUUCUCAGAGAAGAAAUGUUUCACAAAAACAGUGCAGCAAAAGCCCUUUGGGUGUGUACACAAGAAAAAAUGAAGACAGCUCUUCAUGAUUUCAUGUUCAUACUUCAAGGGUCCACUUCAGAAGCUGCCAUAUCAAGCUGAAGAAAAAACUGAUCCACAUGGAUGCCCUGAGCAAUUCCUUGCUGCCAAAUCUUGCAGUCGUCUCACCGCUGAAGGAUAUAUGAAGAGGCCAAAAAUGGUCCAUUACUAGACUAGAGAAACCAAAAUGUACAAAUAGAAUUGACCGAAUAGAAGUCCAUGGUUUUAUGGCUUAUUGUAAAGCUUUGAGCUAGUAAAAACUAAUUUAGAAAAAAUUUAUAAUCAAGAUUUUUUUUUUGUCUUCCCUCUAAUUUUGUUGAGUUGUAUCUCAGAAACUAAACAUUCCAAUCCUAGAUUGUUACUUCAACAUGUUAGCUACCAAGUCCAAGAAAAUUGAGAUAUUCAAGUGAGAGUCAGCUCAAAAAACAACACAUUGAAUCCUUUCAAGUUUCCUUUGUGGAGAGGCAUAAAAUUUUUCAAGAUGUUUUAUUUUAUAAUCACAGUUGUUUUUCCAUUUUCAAAUGUCUUUCUCUACCUGCAUGUUAAGAAAAAUGUAUAUAUACCCGUUGAAGGUAUGCAGUUUACUGUACAUGAAGACUGCAUUUGCUAAUCUAAUAAAUGAUAUUUAUUGGAGACUUAAAAAACUACCAUUAUCAAUCUCCUCACCUUUGGUAAAGAGAGAAGAGAACUGGGGGUCGUGGGAUCUACAGUUCAAUUUGACAGAUCCACUAAUAACUUCUUCCAAAUCUGUUUUGGAUCUGAGAAUCUAAAAGAAAAUGCAGCUUCUGUCUUGAUAGGGACCACUGGUACUAGUAGGACACACUUCACGUGCAUAUCACAAGGACCUGCCUUGCAAUUAAUGAAACUAAGCAAGGAAUAUUUCCUGCAACCUUUUUUUCCAAAAACCAACAUAUGCUGGUGAUAACUUUUGGGUUAAAGACAUGAAAAACAUAAAUGAAGUUUAUUACAUGCCUCCAGCUCUUUCUGGUNNNNNNNNNNNNNNNNNNNNNNNNNNNNNNNNNNNNNNNNNNNNNNNNNNNNNNNNNNNNNNNNNNNNNNNNNNNNNNNNNNNNNNNNNNNNNNNNNNNNNNNNNNNNNNNNNNNNNNNNNNNNNNNNNNNNNNNNNNNNNNNNNNNNNNNNNNNNNNNNNNNNNUAUGUGUUCCACCAAAUCUACAAGCUCUCUUAUCACCAAGUUCUUAAUACAAUUAAGUAGGGAAACAGGACCAUGUGAUCCUUCAGGUGAUCAUGUCCCUUACCCAAAUGCCUCUUCUUCACCACUCACCACAUAUUCAGCAAUUUUGGCAUGAUCUAUACAUAUAUAUAGGCUUUUAUCAUCUCCAAAAUCAACAAAUUCCAACGAUUCUACUUACUAACAAAUUUUUUCUCUCCUCUCUCAAGCUACUGAAAUCUUGAUUAUCUUUUCUCUAAGUGACUAAUUAACAAUGGCUAUUCGUUUUCCCCGUGUAUUGUAUUCCAAGCAGAUUCUCCGCAGAUCAAAUUCUUUUGGAAAUCAGUUAGCUUCCUCUGAUGUUCCAAAAGGCUACGUUGCAGUCUAUGUUGGAGAUCAAGAUCAAAAGAAGAGAUUCAUAAUUCCAAUAUCAUUCUUGCAUCAACCUUCAUUUCAAGAGUUGCUAUGCAUGGCAGAGGAGGAAUUCGGCUACAAUCAUCCAAUGGGUGGUCUCACACUGCCCUGCACAGAGGACAUCUUCGUUCACCUCACUGCCCGCUUGAACAGAU
rnacentral:lncRNA from 1 species